GACGAACGCUGGCGGCGUGCUUAACACAUGCAAGUCGAACGGAAAGGCCCUGCUUUUGUGGGGUGCCCGAGUGGCGAACGGGUGAGUAACACGUGAGUAACCUGCCCUUGACUUUGGGAUAACUUAAGGAAACUGGGGCUAAUAUCGGAUAGGAGCUCCUGUUGCAUGGUGGGGGUUGGAAAGUUUCGGCGGUUGGGGAUGGACGGGCGGUUUACCGGCUUGUUGGUGGGGGAGUGGCUUACCAAGGCUUUGACGGGUAGCCGGCCUGUGAGGGGGACCGGCCACAUUGGGACUGAGAGACGGCCCAGACUCCUACGGGAGGCAGCAGGGGGGAAUAUUGCACAAUGGGCGGAAGCCUGAUGCAGCAACGCCGCGUGCGGGAUGACGGCCUUCGGGUUAUAAACCGCUUUCGCCUGUGACGAAGCUUGAGUGACGGUAAUGGGUAAAGAAGCACCGGCUAACUACGUG
rnacentral:rRNA from 1 species